GUCUACAGCCAUGCCACCCUGCACGUGCCCUAUCUUGUCUGUUCUCGGAAGCUAAGCAGGGUCAGGCCUGGUUAGUACUUGGAUGGGAGACCAGGUGCUGUAGGCA
rnacentral:rRNA from 1 species